UACGUAGGGUGCAAGCGUUGUCCGGAAUUAUUGGGCGUAAAGAGCUCGUAGGCGGUCUGUCACGUCGGAUGUGAAAACUCGGGGCUCAACCCCGAGCCUGCAUACGAUACGGGCAGACUUGAGUUCGGCAGGGGAGACUGGAAUUCCUGGUGUAGCGGUGAGAUGCGCAGAUAUCAGGAGGAACACCGGUGGCGAAGGCGGGUCUCUGGGCCGAUACUGACGCUGAGGAGCGAAAGCGUGGGGAGCGAACAGG
rnacentral:rRNA from 1 species